GUCAUCAUGGUGCUCAUUGGCUCCAGCUUUCAGAGGCUGUGCGAGGUGUUGGAGGGUUUUGGUCAGAAGGCAGAAACACAAAGCCCACCAGGGGUACAGAGUGUCGACCUGAGACACAUCAGCCUUGAGCUGGAUGGCCAACUGGAGCAGAUUGAGAGCUCCCUGUGGGACAACUGGUUCUGGAACCUGAUCCUGGAUGAUGAUACUACUGAAGAUGAAGAAGAGAGCGAGGAAGAGGAGGAAGAAGAGGAGGAAGAAAGCUCAAGGAGGGAGGCAGAGGAGACAGGUGCCCAGGAGGGACUGGGGGGGUACAGACACAGGAAGUCAAGCAAGAAAAACUUCCUAAUUCAAAGAAAGGAGAAGAUGAGAGGAAGAUCAGAGAAGACAGCAAGGUGGGAGAAGAAUGAGGAGCUCAGUGAAUUGACAAGAGAGCAUAAGGUGAGGGAAAAGAAGGUAAGAUUGCAGAGAUCUGAGGAAGAUGAAGACCUUGGAGAGGAUGAGGAAGAAUCACCCAAAGGGAAGAGGCAGAGUGCAGAGGCAGAGAGAUGGCAGAAGCGAAAGAAACAGCUGCUGCAGGUGAAGAAGGUGCCCAUUAGAGGCCACAGACACAACCUGUGA
rnacentral:lncRNA from 1 species